rnacentral:rRNA from 1 species
UACGGUGGGGGCAAGCGUUGUUCGGAAUUACUGGGCGUAAAGGGCUCGUAGGCGGCCAACUAAGUCAUACGUGAAAUCCCUCGGCUUAACCGGGGAACUGCGUCUGAUACUGGAUGGCUUGAGAUUGGGAGAGGGAUGCGGAAUUCCAGGUGUAGCGGUGAAAUGCGUAGAUAUCUGGAGGAACACCGGUGGCGAAGGCGGCAUCCUGGACCAACACUGACGCUGAGGAGCGAAAGCCAGGGGAGCAAACGGG